UAACUCCGCUCACACCUGCACUCAUCUUCACCCACGAUACAGAACACUCCACUCAAUUUCUCUCUGAAAAUACACGCGCUUUUUUGGCAGAUCUAAUAAGGGUAAUUGCUCUAGCAUUGGGUGGAUCAGCGAAUGGAAUUGUUGUCAGUGGUGAUCCAUUUUGGUUUUGUAAACAACUGGUUUACCUUGCUGCAUCGAUCUCAGGUGGGCAUAACAAUGUUGUUUGAUGGUAUAAGUCCUCUUUUGGACAAGUUGGAUCGUCCGAAUAUGGAGAUGAAGUUGUGGCUCAAGUUGUUGGAGAAUUAGAUCUGGCUUGUAGAAAAGCUGGAUUUUUUACGUCGUAAUUAUUCCUUCUCCUACUAAAUUUUCUUUCUAUUUGAUGUUAUUGGUGGUCCUAAUUGCAGCCUAGCUUUUAUAUCUAUUGAAUUUCCAAUAUUUUUGAAAAUAGUGUGCUGUCUCUGUGAACGAAGCUUAGCUUCUCCUGAGUUUUAAGUCUUGUUUGGAUCUUUCAAGGUCCAUGGUAUCCGUCUUUCCCCUAUGAAAGAGAUUAGAAGCAUUGCACGUGAAUAUUUUCAUCAUCCUUAUGAGGAUAAACUCAAGAUCAAACUUUCUGCCUCAACUGGAUACAGAGGAUAUCAAAGAAUUGGAGAGCAUAUAACCAAAGACACACCUGAUAUGCAUGAAGCAAUUGAUGUAGGUUAUACUAAUUACCUAUGGUCUAUAUAUUGCAGAAAAAAAGUGUACCACUUGUUGUAUAAUGGUUUUCUCAAAGCUUUCUUGGGUUUUCUUCACCGUUUCACCCGUAAGCCCGUGCUUAUAGCUACUAUAAUCUUUUCUUAUUCUGGCCCAAUAGCUUAAUAUCUCUACUGAUAUAAAUAUGCAGUCUUUGGAUCCAAGAAAGGUGACAUCAAACUUGUACGGAGCAAACGAUAUGCACUGGCAAACUGUUAAAGCAAGAAAGUAUAUGCCUGUCGUGCUUGUCUCAUUAAAGUAGCCAGUGGUUAAAAUAAAAAGAAAAGUCUUAUUUUCUGUUGUUAGCCUCAUCUUGAUCAUAUCUUCUGUGUAGAGUUUGUGUGUGUUUAUUAGAAAAAAAAAAGAAAAGAUUUUAAACAAUGUAUAGAUUGUAAAGUUAUUCCUAUUUACCCUCUACCACUUGGGAUUGGGGCUCGUUCCCCUUUAGGUGAGGCCUUGUUUUUCUAGCUCAACUGUGAACAUAAUUAAUUCAUUCACAAAUUGACUAAGCUCUUCUCAAUGUUACUUUGUCAUCUUUGAUGCGCUUCUCUUUCUAUCUUGUUUGUUGGUUACAGUGCUAUAGAGAAGUGAAACAUGGGAUAUAUGGAGAUCUUGGAGAAGUUAUGCAAGGAUCCAACACACGGCCAAGUAACCCUCCAAAUUUCAAGCAGUUAAUGGAGGAGUAUGUUGACUGUUGCACGGGUGCCUUGCUCUAUUACAUACUCUUUUGACAUUUUUGCAGGCACUAAUAAAGGUUUUCUACAUGGAAGUGACACGAAAUUGGUGAAAUCUUGUAUUACACUACUGACAGAUCUAUCACGAAAGAUAAUGAGGGGAAGUGUUGGGUGGAUCAUCGGAUGAAAUGGAGGGUGAAAUAGGUGGUGAUCCAUUUUGGGUCUUGCGAAUAAUUGGCUACCCUGUUGCGUCCAUUUCAAAUGGACAUGAGUCGGAUGGUAAGUCGCGGUGUUGGUUGUCACGUUUUUCCUUGUUUCUCAAAUCCUAUUUCUUUUUUGUUAUCGGUGUAUCUCUUUUCCAAUGAGUGACGUUUUUUCUUUGUGUUGUUCAUCUCUUUUUUUGGAAUCGUAUAAAUCUCAUCCUGAUUUUACAA